AGGCGCGUAGCUCAGCGGGAGAGCGCUGCCUUGACGCGGCAGAGGUCGGCGGUUCGAAACCGCCCGCGCCUACCA
rnacentral:tRNA from 2 species